rnacentral:rRNA from 14 species
GCGACCCCAGGAUGGGCGAGGCCACCCGCCGAGU